UAGGAGGCUAAACAGUACCCAAGGUGAAAUCAGAGUUGGACCCAGCCAUCAGGCCAAGCUCCCUGACCUGCAGCCCUUCCCUUCCCCGGACGGUGACACGGUGACCCAGCACGAGGAGCUCGUGUGGAUGCCAGGAGUCAACGACUGUGACCUGCUCAUGUACCUGAGGGCAGCCAGGAGCAUGGCAGCCUUUGCAGGGAUGUGUGAUGGAGGAUCCACAGAGGAUGGUUGUGUCGCUGCCUCCCGUGACGACACCACCCUGAACGCCCUCAACACAGUGAGUACAACUCCUG